AUUGAACGCUGGCGGCAGGCCUAACACAUGCAAGUCGAGCGGAUGAGGGGAGCUUGCUCCCUGAUUUAGCGGCGGACGGGUGAGUAAUGCCUAGGAAUCUGCCUGGUAGUGGGGGAUAACGUUCCGAAAGGAACGCUAAUACCGCAUACGUCCUACGGGAGAAAGCGGGGGAUCUUCGGGACUCGCGCUAUCAGAUGAGCCUAGGUCGGAUUAGCUAGUUGGUGAGGUAAAGGCGCACCAAGGCGACGAUCCGUGACUGGUCUGAGAGGAUGAUCAGUCACACUGGAGCUGAGACACGGUCCAGACUCCUACGGGAGGCAGCAGUGGGGAAUAUUGGACAAUGGGCGAAAGCCUGAUCCAGCCAUGCCGCGUGUGAAGAAGGUCUUCGGAUUGUAAAGCACUUUAAGUUGGGAGGAAGGGUUGUAGAUUAAUACUCUGCAAUUUUGACGUUACCGACAGAAUAAGCACCGGCUAACUUCGUGCCAGCAGCCGCCGUAACAC
rnacentral:rRNA from 1 species